rnacentral:rRNA from 1 species
CCAGCACCCCGAGUGGUCGGGACGAUUAUUGGGCCUAAAGCAUCCGUAGCCGGUUUUACAAGUCCUGCGUUAAAUCCAACUGCUUAACAGAUGGGCCGCGGAGGAUACUAUAAGACUAGGAGGCAGGAGAGGCAAGCGGUACUCAGUGGGUAGGGGUAAAAUCCGUUGAUCCAUUGAAGACCACCAGUGGCGAAGGCGGCUUGCCAGAAUGCGCUCGACGGUGAGGGAUGAAAGCUGGGGGAGCAAACCGGAUUAGAUACCCGGGUAGUCCCAGCUGUAAACGAUGCAGACUCGGUGAUGGACUAGCUUCAUGCUAGUCCAGUGCCGCAGGGAAGCCGUUAAGUCUGCCGCCUGGGUAGUACGGUCGCAAGACUG